UCGAAUGUCAGUGUAAAAGGGAGGGAGGGUCCCCCGGGCCCCGCAGCAGCCCCGGGCCCCGCGGCACCGCACACCUUCCCAGCGCUCUCCGCUCGCAGGAACUAAACCCCGCCACCAUGUCUGACGAGGAAGUGGAGCAGGGCGAGGAGGAGUAUGAAGAAGAAGAAGCCCAGGAGGAAG